UGCUAAAUUGCUUCUGUCAUGUCUAUUUGCAAGCCUAUGGGCUAGAGCCCUCCAGGCUCCUCUGUCCAUGGGAUUCUCCAGGCAAGAACACUGGAGUGGGUUGCCCUGCCCUCCUCCAGGGGAUUUUCCUUACCCAGGAAUUAAACCUGUUUCUCUUACAUCUCCUGAA